rnacentral:lncRNA from 1 species
AUCAAAAUAGGUUAGAGAUGAUUACCAAACCAAUUAGAUUUUGAUCUUCUCUGGUCCAACACUUGGAGAGAAUAUUCCUCAGGUCACUCACAGCCACACAAACUCAUCUGGCCUCUAUAGAAAAAUCCACACGAAGACUAGUGCAGAUCAGGGACUUGGAGGUGCUAGCCUGCAAGCAACUUUGACAGCUGGUUUCUUCCUUCUUCUUCAAGCAACUUGGACACUCCAAAGCAAGAGAGAAUCUAGAGGAAGAGAGGAGGAGGAGAAGAGGCUCUAGAAAUAAAAACCAGUAAGAGAAUUGAUCAUAGGAUGUCCAAGAGAGAGGACCCC